GUAGAUAAGAGAGAUUAGUGAUAGUGGUAUUGGUAGUGGUGAUAGUAGGUGGUGGCGAUGAUGGUAAUGACGGUGGUGGUGGUGAGUUUAUGAUUAUGCUGGUGGUGGUAGUGAUGAGUCGAUUUUGGUGAUGGUGAUGGAGAUGGUGGUGAAAGGGAUGAAGAUGGUGGGGGUGGUGAUGGUGGUGUUGAGCUUAUAAUUAUACAAGUGGUGGUGAUGAUGAGUCGAUUUUGGUGGUGGUGAUGGAGAUGGUGGUGAAAGGGAUAAAGGUGGUGGGGGUGAUGGUGGGGGUGAUGAUGGUGGUGGUGUUGAGCUUAUAAUUAUACUAGUGGUGGUGAUGAUGAGUCGAUUUUGGUGGUGAUGAUGGAGAUGGUGGUGAAAGGGAUAAAGGUGGUGGGGGUGGUGAUGGUGGUGGUGUUGAGCUUAUAAUUAUACUAGUGGUGGUGAUGAUGAGUCGAUUUUGGUGGUGAUGAUGGAGAUGGUGGUGAAAGGGAUAAAGGUGGUGGGGGUGGUGAUGGUGGUGGUGUUGAGCUUAUAAUUAUACAAGUGGUGGUGAUGAUGAGUCGAUUUUGGUGGUGAUGAUGGAGAUGGUGGUGAAAGGGAUGAAGAUGGUGGGGGUGGUGAUGGUGGUGGUGUUGAGCUUAUAAUUAUACAAGUGGUGGUGAUGAUGAGUCGAUUUUGGUGGUGAUGAUGGAGAUGGUGGUGAAAGGGAUGAAGGUGGUGGGGGUGAUGAUGGGUGUCUUGGGUCGCAUGUCUCCACUUACCACGUCAAAGCCAAGGUGGCCCAUGACCUCGUCCUCCACACUGAUGGUAUUGUUGC